CUUCAUCGAAGUUGGUUCUUGGCGAGGUGGUGCCUCAUUGGCACUAUCGAACCUGGGGUCAGCAACGAGGGAGAAGUCGUAACAAGGUGGCCGUAGGGGAACCUGCGGCCGGAUCACCUCCU
rnacentral:rRNA from 1 species